rnacentral:rRNA from 1 species
AGUGAACGCUGGCGGUAGGCCUAACACAUGCAAGUCGAACGGCAGCACAGUAAGAGCUUGCUCUUACGGGUGGCGAGUGGCGGACGGGUGAGGAAUACAUCGGAAUCUACUUUUUCGUGGGGGAUAACGUAGGGAAACUUACGCUAAUACCGCAUACGACCUACGGGCGAAAGCAGGGGAUCUUCGGACCUUGCGCGAUUGAAUGAGCCGAUGUCGGAUUAGCUAGUUGGCGGGGUACAGGCCCACCAAGGCGACGAUCCGUAGCUGGUCUGAGAGGAUGAUCGGCCACACUGGAACUGAGACACGGUCCAGACUCCUACGGGAGGCAGCAGUGGGGAAUAUUGGACAAUGGGCGCAAGCCUGAUCCAGCCAUACCGCGUGGGUGAAGAAGGCCUUCGGGUUGUAAAGCCCCUUUGUUGGGAAAGAAAAGCAGCAGGUUAAUACCCCGCUGUUCUGACGGUACCCAAAGAAUAAGCACCGGCUAACUUCGUG